GAGUUUGAUCUUGGCUCAGAUUGAACGCUGGCGGCAUGCCUUACACAUGCAAGUCGAACGGCAGCACGGGAGCUUGCUCCUGGUGGCGAGUGGCGAACGGGUGAGUAAUGCAUCGGAACGUAUCCUGGAGUGGGGGAUAACGUAGCGAAAGUUACGCUAAUACCGCAUAUUCUGUGAGCAGGAAAGCGGGGGACCUUCGGGCCUCGCGCUCUUGGAGCGGCCGAUGUCGGAUUAGGCUAGUUGGUGAGGUAAAGGCUCACCAAGGCGACGAUCCGUAGCAGGUCUGAGAGGAUGAUCUGCCACACUGGAACUGAGACACGGCCAGACUCCUACGGGAGGCAGCAGUGGGGAAUUUUGGACAAUGGGGGCAACCCGUGAUCCAGCCAUGCCGCGUGAGUGAAGAAGGCCUCGGUU
rnacentral:rRNA from 1 species